AUGGACAGACAUUGGAAAGGGAUGCAUGUGCCUUACAACGCCGUCGACCGAAACCUAUUUGCGGCCCGCACAAAGAUCAAUGUUGGAGAUGGUCGAUCGACAUCCUUCUGGAAGGAGAGAUGGAUUGAAGAUCUCUCUCUCACCGAGGCAGCGCCCUCUCUCUACAUGCUGGCCACAAGGAAAAAUAUACCGGUCUACGAUGGGCUGACUGGGGGCAAAUGGAUGCGAGGGCCACGCAGGAUUAUCAGUGUGGAGCAACUAACAAAAUUCAUUAAGCUAUGGAAGAUGAUUCAGACUGUCCAGCUGACUACAAUUAUGGGCAGCGUUGUUUGGAAACUCAACAACAACAACCAUCACACCACAAAGUCUGCAUACAACAUUCAGUUUCUAGGGCUUGUGAGGAGGUCUGAUCUUCAUGUUAUUUGGCGAACACGAGCGAAAGCCAAAGUGAAAGUCUUCCUUUGGCUGCUUCUUCAAAACCGGCUUUGGACUGCCGACCGGUUGGCUGCUAGAGGAUGGCAACACUUGGAUCUUUGCAAGCUUCGUGAUUAG
rnacentral:rRNA from 1 species